rnacentral:lncRNA from 1 species
AUGCCCCACAGUGACGUCACANNNNNNNNNNGGGGCUGGGGGUCCCCGUCACUGUCUCCGUGGGGCUGGGGGUCCUCAUCCCCCCCCUCGGUGUCUCUGUGGGGCUGGGGGUCCUCGCUCCCCCCCUCGCUGUCUCCAUGGGACUGGGGGUCCCUCUUGGUGUCUCCGUGGGGCUGGGGGUCCUCGUCCCCCCCUCGCUGUUGUUAUGGGUCUAGGGGUCCUCCUCGGUGUCUCCGUGGGGCUGAGGGUCCCCCUUGCUUUCUCCAUGGGGCUGGGGGUCCCUCUUGGUGUCUCAGUGGGGCUGGGGGUCCUCAUCCUCCUCCUCGCUGUCCCCAUGGGGCUGGGGGUCCCCUUUGCUGUCCCCAUGGGUCUAGGGGUCCUCGUUCCCCCCCUUGCUCUCUCCGUGGGUCUGGGGGUCCUCCUCGCUGUCUCCGUGGGGCUGGGGGUCCUCAUCCCCCCCCUCGCUGUCUCCGUGGGGCUGGGGGUCCCCGUUGCUGUCCCCGUGGGGCUGGGGGUCCUCAUCCUCCCCCUCGCUGUCCCCAUGGGGCUGGGGGUCCCCCUCGGUGUCUCCGUGGGGCUGGGGGUCCUCGUCCCCCCCCUCGGUGUCCCCAUGGGGCUGGGGGUCCUCAUUCCCCCCCUCACUGUCGUUAUGGGUCUAGGGGUCCUCCUCGCUGUCUCCGUGGGGCUGGGGAUCCCCCUCGUAGUCCCCAUGGGGCUGGGGGUCCUUGUCCCCCCCGUCACUGUCUCUAUGGGUCUAGGGGUCCUCAUCCUCCUCCUCGCUGUCUCCGUGGGGCUGGGGGUCCCCCUCAGUGUCUCUGUGGGGCUGGGGGUCCCCGUCACUGUCUCCGUGGGGCUGGGGGUCCUCAUCCCCCCCCUCGGUGUCUCUGUGGGGCUGGGGGUCCCCCUCAGUGUCUCUGUGGGGCUGGGGGUCCUCGCUCCCCCCCUCGCUGUCUCCAUGGGACUGGGGGUCCCUCUUGGUGUCUCCGUGGGGCUGGGGGUCCUCGUCCCCCCCUCGCUGUUGUUAUGGGUCUAGGGGUCCUCCUCGGUGUCUCCGUGGGGCUGAGGGUCCCCCUUGCUUUCUCCAUGGGGCUGGGGGUCCCUCUUGGUGUCUCAGUGGGGCUGGGGGUCCUCAUCCUCCUCCUCGCUGUCCCCAUGGGGCUGGGGGUCCCCUUUGCUGUCCCCAUGGGUCUAGGGGUCCUCGUUCCCCCCCUUGCUCUCUCCGUGGGUCUGGGGGUCCUCCUCGCUGUCUCCGUGGGGCUGGGGGUCCCCCUCAGUGUCUCUGUGGGGCUGGGGGUCCCCG